GAUCACAGAUUACCUUCAGUGGUUGGGGAGGAGUAGUUGGAUUUUCAACAGCAGGGAUCGACUGGAAUCCCCAUGUAAUAGGUGUGGUAUGUGUACUCUAUUUCUUCCCUCAUGGUGUCUAGGCACUGCUACACACCAGGCUGGAAGGAAGCAGAGGCCAGAAGAGAAUCCUUCUGGUCGCCAUCUGAGCCUGGAGCUAAGGCUGUUCCACAGCCCUCUCUACACAGGUUCCGCCAGAGAGAGCUGGUCUCCCAGGAGUGCUGACAGGGCUUGCAGGCCCACAGGAGGGACAAGCUCCAGCCAGAGACAGAAAGACCAACACCAGAAAUAACCAGAUGGCAAAAGGCAAGCGCAAGAACCUUACCAACAGAAACCAAGGCUACUUGGCAUCAGACCCCAGUUCUCCCAUCACAGCAAGUCCUGGAUACCUCAACACACCGGAAAAGCAAGAUAUGGAUUUAAAAAUCACAUCUCAUUAUGCUGAUAGAGGAUUUUAAGAAGGACAUAAAUAACUCCCUUAAAGAAGUACAGGAGAACACAAGUAAACAAAUAGAAGCUUUAAAGAGGAAACAAAAAUCCCUUAAAGAAUUUCAGGAAAACACAACUGAACAGAUGAAGGAAUUAAACAAAACCAUCCAGGAUCUAAAAAUGGAAGUAGAAACAAAAAGAAAUCACAAAGGGAGACAUCUCCCCGGAUUUUAAUGGAACAGCUCUCUUAGACAAUCUUAGUUUAAUUUGCACUGGUUAGAGUCUACUGUCUGGUCUCCUUGGUUUCUCUAGUCCAGAGGAUGGGCAACCCACACGGAGAUACAAGACCAUUUGAAAGAUGCCUGAUUGAAAGAUUGGAUUGAGCUGCCGAUUCCUGUGAGCUGUACUGCUGAUGUCCUGACAAUGCAGAUUGGAUUUGCUCCAAAGAACUAUUUCUAAACAGGUUCUUCUUUGCCCUAUUAAUCUUUCCUUCCCACUACCUCUGGUGUGGUGGGCUAGAAGGGACAUUAAAACAUUUAAGAACAACAACCCUCGAACUGUGAGGCUGUCAGCUUCAGACAAGAGAGACUAUUUACUUAAAUGGCCAAUUUUUGUUUAAAAUGGCCACUCAAAUUAAAAGGAAAAGUGAGGAUCUGGAGAGAGGCUCAGCAGUUAAGAACACUGACUGAUCUUCCAGAGGACCAGAGAUCAAUUCUUAGCAGCCACAUGGCGGCUCACAACCAUCUGUAACGGGCUCCCAUACCGUCUUCUGGUGUGUCUGAAGAUAGCUACAUUGUACUCAUUUAUUAUAAAAUAAAUAAAUAAAUCUGCUCUUCCG